UUUUUUUUUUACACUGAAUUUUUUUCUCAUUAAACUUUAUUUUUAAUAGGUCUCAAAAUUCUGUGACAGAUUUUUGGUCAAAUGGUUUCCAUUAAAAAGUACUGAUUUUAAAAACUAACUUAAAAUUGCUAUAGAAAAAAAACAAAUGAUACAUAAAACAUCCUCUUUUCCCUGUAAGUUUUUACAUUGCAUUUUUAUCAUUGACGAGAUUUUACCGUUUAACUUAAUUGGCCAGUUGAGACAAGCAGUUCUAGACCUUCCACCACUGAUUAAGACUGAGGUUGCAGUUAUUAGAGAUAAUAUUCAUUUAGCCUACUGAGUUUUAUGGGAAGACUUGAUGACCUUACCAGCUCCAGCAACUUUUCUCUCCACAGAUUUGAUGAUAACCACAGCAAUGGUCCAUUAGAAAUAACAAAUGGCCAAAUGAUCCUGAGAAUAGUCAGAGAAGCUCUCAUCAUAUAAGCUUUCCAAAAAGCAUAUCAACCAUGACAACAUCACCAGAUCUCAAAAAUUUAAGGCCAUCUUCCAGCUUCUUACCAGAAUGGUGAUUGAUCUUCUCCUUCAGCUCAACAAACUUUGCAAGCAACGUGAGCUGCGUGACAAUCCAGCACAGGUUCAUAGCCAGCACUGAUUUGGUGUGGGUGAUUCAGGGUAAUCACCUGAGCAGUGAGGCCAGUUACUUUCAUUGGUGGGUAAUUUUUGUUAUCACCACCCAACUGCAAUGAUGAACAUUUCUGACAGACACAUUCUGGACACUGAACUCCACACUCUCCCAAGGAAGAGCUUCAUUUAAACUUCAUGGUACAGGGUACCUGGGUGGCUUGGUGGUUGAACCUUCAGCUCAGGUCCUGAUCCUGGAGUCCUGGGAUUGAGUCCCACGUCAGGCUCCCCAUGGGGAGCCAGCUUCUCCCUCUAUGUCUCUGCUCUCUUUCUAUGUCUCUUAUGAAUAAAUAAGUAAAAUCUUAAAAAAAAUAAACUUUGUGGUACAUUUUAACAGACUUUUCUUCAGUUGUAACAUGGAUGAUAACAAAAAUGACCAUAAUGCCAUGUUUGAGAACACAGUCUCACAGAGACAGUAACAACAUCACCAAUUCUGUUGACAUCCUAGAAGAACAAACCCAAGGGUUGUCAAUUGGAUGGAUUGGUGGCAGAAUACAAUCCAGAGCUUCAAGCAGUAUUGUUCCACUGGCAUUGCCAUCUUUACUGGUGACUUUCCAUCACUUGAAUCAAGCCAUGUUUGUACUUGGCUCCAGCAUGUUGUCACUAUACCAACCAGAAACUGGCUCAAAUGCUACUGUGUCUGGCCCGCAGCCAGUUUUCCAAAUAUAGGUGCUGAUUUCCUUAAUGAUUUCCUUGAAAUUUCUCUGGAUGAAGAAUGUCUCAGUGGAAUCCAUUUAUUUUAUUUUAUUUAUUUUAUUUAUUUUUUAAAGAUUUUAUUUAUUUAUUCAUGAGAGAUACAGAGAGAAGGAGGCAGAGACACAGGCAGAGGGAGAAGCAGGCUCCAUGCAAGGGAGCCUGAUGUGGGACUCGAUCCCGGGUCUCCAGGACCACACCCUGGGCUGAAGGCAGACUCUUAUCUGCUGAGCCACCCAAGUGUCCCGGGAUCCUUUUUUUUUUUUUUUUUUUAACACCAAUAAUUAGUUGUUUCACAGCUAGUGUGUAAGCCAGAAGUGCAUGCUUAUAGGUCUGACCAUUUUCGGAUAUACCUGCUUCAAAUUUUCCAGCACCAGCAACAACAAUCAGGCAGAAAAUUUUAGGCACAGCCUGAUAUGUAUCUAGAAUCAUGUUUUUGAUAAAGUACCUGUAUCCUGGGGCAUCAAUGACAAAAACAUAAUACUUACUGGUCUCAAUUUUCCACAUGGAGUUAUCAAUGGUGAUCCCGUGCUCACAUUCAGCUUUCAGCUUAUCCAAAACCCAGGCAUAGUUGAAGGAACCCUCUCCCAUGUCAGUAGCCUUCUUCUCAAAUUUUUCAAUUUUUUUUUUCAGUCUCCUCACAUUUGUAGAUCAGAUGGCCAUAGUGGUGGGCUUGCCUGGAUCUACAUGUCUAAUGAUGUUGAUGUUAAUUUCUUUCCCUGUUUUGGCUUAGAUUUAGCAGUAGUUUUCAUGAUAUCUGUGUUCUGGAAGCAAACUCAUCAAAAAAGGUACACUAGGGCAGCCCGGUGGUUCAGUGGUUUAGUGCCGCCUUCAGCCCAGGGCCUGAUCCUAGAGACCUGGGAUCGAGUCCCACGUCAGGCUCCCUGCAUGGAGCCUGCUUCUCCCUCUACCUGUGUCUCUGCCUCUCUGUCUUUCUCUGUGUCUCUCAUGAAUAAAUAAAUAAAAUCUUUAAAAAAAAAAAAAAAG
rnacentral:lncRNA from 1 species